AUAUUGGACAAUGGGGGGAACCCUGAUCCAGCAAUGCCGCGUGUGUGAAGAAGGCCUUCGGGUUGUAAAGCACUUUAAGUUGGGAGGAAAAGCUGCUUGUUAAUAGCGAGUGGUGUUGACGUUACCAACAGAAUAAGCACCGGCUAACUCCGUGCCAGCCGCCGCGGUAAUACGGAGGGUGCAAGCGUUAAUCGGAAUUACUGGGCGUAAAGCGCGCGUAGGCGGUUAUUUAAGUCAGAUGUGAAAUCCCCGGGCUUAACCUGGGAAUUGCAUUUGAGACUGGAUGGCUAGAGUGUGGUAGAGGUGAGUGGAAUUUCAGGUGUAGCGGUGAAAUGCGUAGAUAUCUGAAGGAACAUCAGUGGCGAAGGCGACUCACUGGGCCAUUACUGACGCUGAGGUGCGAAAGCGUGGGUAGCAAA
rnacentral:rRNA from 1 species